rnacentral:rRNA from 1 species
CUACGGGUUGCUGCAGUGAGGAAUAUUGGGCAAUGGGCGAAAGCCCGACCCAGCCAUGCCGCGUGAAGGAUGACUGCCCUAUGGGUUGUAAACUUCUUUUGUAAGGGAAGAAUGAUUCCUACGUGUAGGAAUGUGACGGUACCUUAUGAAUAAGCACCGGCUAACUCCGUGCCAGCAGCCGCGGUAAUACGGAGGGUGCAAGCGUUAUCCGGAUUUAUUGGGUUUAAAGGGUGCGUAGGCGGAAUUUUAAGUCAGUGGUGAAAUCCUGCAGCUCAACUGUAGAACUGCCAUUGAUACUGAUCUUCUUGAAUUUAGUUGAGGUGGGCGGAACGUGUAAUGUAGCGGUGAAACGCUUAGAUAUUACACAGAACACCGAUUGCGAAGGCAGCUCACUAAACUAACAUUGACGCUGAGGCACGAAAGCGUGGGUAGCGAACAGGAUUAGAUACCCCUGUAGUC